ensembl:misc_RNA
CAGAAUGAGGAGGGAUCUGUGUGGUCACCGUGCUCUUGCCAGAACAUAGGGCGGACAUCGAAAUUCCCUUUUAAAACUCUGGGCUGAGUUCUUUGCUUGGGUGAUGCAAAAAGCAUCGCCCUGGGAAAAGGGAGGGGAGCAACCGGGAGCAAGAA